rnacentral:rRNA from 1 species
GACGAGGGAUCCUAGCGUUGCUCGGAAUCAUUGGGCGUAAAGCGGGUGUAGGUGGCUUGGUAAGUCAGGUGUGAAAGCCUGGGGCUUAACCCCAGAAGUGCAUUUGAAACUGCUAAGCUUGAGUGCUAGAGAGGUUAUUAGAAUACCUGGUGUAGUGGUGAAAUACGUAGAUAUCAGGUGGAACACCGGAGGCGAAGGCGGAUAACUGGCUAGACACUGACACUGAGACCCGAAAGUGCGGGGAUCAAACAGG